UGGGGAAUAUUGGACAAUGGGCGCAAGCCUGAUCCAGCCAUGCCGCGUGAGUGAUGAAGGCCUUAGGGUUGUAAAGCUCUUUCGCCGGUGAAGAUAAUGACGGUAACCGGAGAAGAAGCCCCGGCUAACUUCGUGCCAGCAGCCGCGGUAAUACGAAGGGGGCUAGCGUUGUUCGGAAUCACUGGGCGUAAAGCGCACGUAGGCGGAUCGCUAAGUCAGGGGUGAAAGCCCGAGGCUCAACCUCGGAAUUGCCUUUGAUACUGGCGAUCUUGAGUUCGGGAGAGGUGAGUGGAACUCCGAGUGUAGAGGUGAAAUUCGUAGAUAUUCGGAAGAACACCAGUGGCGAAGGCGGCUCACUGGCCCGAUACUGACGCUGAGGUGCGAAAGCGUGGGGAGCAAACA
rnacentral:rRNA from 1 species